ACUAACAAUCUAGCCCCAUAUAUAAAUAUAUAUGUUAAUCUUACAUAUCUGAACUCAUUAAUUAAAACAUUUUUACAUUUUAGUAAAGGCGAUUAAAAAAUUAUUAAGAGCUAUACAAAUAGUACCGUAAGGGAAAGAUGAAAUAAAGAUGAAACAAAUUUCAAGUAAAAAAUAGUAGAGUUUUCUCCUCGUACCUUUUGCAUCAUGGUUUAACUAGUUUAAUUAAGCAAAAAGACUUAUAGUUUAACCUCCCGAAACUAGGCGAGCUACUUCAAGGCAGCUUACUGAGCAAACCCGUCUCUGUUGCAAAAGAGUGGGAUGACCUUCAAGUAGAGGUGACAGGCCUAACGAGCCUAGUGAUAGCUGGUUAUUCAGGAAAAGAAUUUAAGUCCAACCUAAAGUUUUUUGAAAUAAAAAGAAAUAAAAAUUUUACUUUAGAGCAAUUCAAGUAAGGUACAGCCUACUUGAAACAGGAUACAACCUCUUAAGAUGGGUAAUUAUUUUGUUAAGAUAGUCAAGUAGGCCUAAAAGCAGCCACCUUAAAAAUAGCGUCAAAGCUCCAUUAUUCUUCAACUCUAAUCCCUUAAACUAUUAAAAACCCUCUAUCAGUACUGAAUUCUUCUAUAAUUUUAUAGAAUAUUUUAUGUUAAAACUAGUAAUAAGAAGAAGCCCUUCACUUCAAUGUAAAUGUAAAUCAGAUAGGACACACCGCUGACCAUUAACAUUCAUGCAAAAAAUUAAUAACUUUACAAGAAAACCUUAAUUUUUAUUUUGUUAACCUGACACAAGAACAUUAUAAGUAAGUUUAAAAGAAAAAGAAGGAACUCGGCAAACAUAAACCUCGCCUGUUUACCAAAAACAUCGCCUCUUGAUUAACUAUAAGAGGUCCAGCCUGCCCAGUGACUCUGUUCAACGGCCGCGGUAUCCUAACCGUGCGAAGGUAGCGUAAUCACUUGUUCUUUAAAUGGGGACUAGUAUGAAUGGCACCACGAAGGUUACACUGUCUCCUUUUUCCAACCAGUGAAACUAAUCUCCCCGUGAAGAAGCGGGGAUAAAUAUAUAAGACGAGAAGACCCUAUGGAGCUUUAAACUAAAUUACAUCUGCUUUUAAUUCUUUUCUCCCGGGUAUAAACAUUUAUUUAAGCCCUUUGAUUUUUAGUUUUAGGUUGGGGUGACCGCGGAGUAAAAAAAAACCUCCACGUCGAAUGGAACUAAAUUCCUAAGCCACGAGUUUCAUCUCUACACACCAAUAAAUUGACGUAAAUUGACCCAAUAUAUUGAUCAACGAACCAAGUUACCCUAGGGAUAACAGCGCAAUCCGCUUCAAGAGCUCCUAUCGACAAACGGGUUUACGACCUCGAUGUUGGAUCAGGAUAUCCCAGUGGUGCAGCCGCUACUAAAGGUUCGUUUGUUCAACGAUUAAAAUCCU
rnacentral:rRNA from 1 species